rnacentral:rRNA from 1 species
UACGUAGGGGGCAAGCGUUGUCCGGAUUUAUUGGGCGUAAAGAGCGUGUAGGCGGCCUUACAGGUCAGCUGUGAAAACUCGAGGCUCAACCUCGAGACGUCGGUUGAAACCGUAUGGCUAGAGUCCGGAAGAGGAGAGUGGAAUUCCCGGUGUAGCGGUGAAAUGCGUAGAUAUCGGGGAGGAACACCGGUGGCGAAGGCGGCCCCCUGGUUGGAUACUGACGCUGAGACGCGAAAGCGUGGGGAGCAAACAGG